AAGCUUACUUUUACUUGUGGGACGAGGUACAAACAUGUGUGCUAUAAUUACUAAUAAGUCUGCCCAAGGAUGAUGUCUUGGUUAGGUUAUCCACCUUUAUCCUAACUUUGGAUUGAAUAUUGCUACUAAAAAAUACAAUCAGCACAGUGACUUUUGCAGUAAUCAUUGAUUAAUUGUUUUAUUUCUUGACCAGGCCCUCCAUAUCCUGAUGGACCAUUCAUCGUCUGCGGGUGAACAGUCCACUUAAACAAGUUGGGCCUUAGGCGAAUAAUACUCUGUAUUUUGUCCAAUCCACUACUUUUUCUCAUGGAUAAUGAAAUUCUUACUUUAAUCCAAUCCACUACUUUUUCUAAGUGACUUUUGCCCACCUUUGAUCCUAACACAAAUGCAGUUAUAAUUUAUAUGUAUAAUAUGCUUUACUGUAUACUCUAAUAUAUAAGUUGAUUUUUUGUUUUGUUAAAUUCUUGCUUCAGCUUCACUAAUUGUGAACUUAUAAUCAUGUGUAGCUAAAUCAUUUGGUUGUACACUAAUUGCUUCAGCUGUACAGGAAGCUACAAAAAAACGAAAAAAAAAAAAAAAAAAAAAA
rnacentral:lncRNA from 1 species